UACAGAGGGUGCAAGCGUUAUUCGGAAUCACUGGGCGUAAAGAGCUCGUAGGCGGUUAAUUAAGUCGAAUGUGAAAGCCCUGGGCUCAAUCCAGGAAGUGCAUCCGAUACUGGUUGACUGGAGUGCAGGAGAGGAAAGCGGAAUUCCAGGUGUAGAGGUGAAAUUCGUAGAUAUCUGGAGGAACAACAGAAGCGAAGGCGGCUUUCUGGACUGUCACUGACGCUGAGGAGCGAAAGCGUGGGGGCAAACAGG
rnacentral:rRNA from 1 species